rnacentral:rRNA from 1 species
AGUGAACGCUGGCGGUAGGCCUAACACAUGCAAGUCGAACGGCAGCACAGUAAGAGCUUGCUCUUACGGGUGGCGAGUGGCGGACGGGUGAGGAAUACAUCGGAAUCUACUUUUUUCGUGGGGGAUAACGUAGGGAAACUUACGCUAAUACCGCAUACGACCUACGGGUGAAAGCAGGGGAUCUUCGGACCUUGCGCGAUUGAAUGAGCCGAUGUCGGAUUAGCUAGUUGGCGGGGUAAAGGCCCACCAAGGCGACGAUCCGUAGCUGGUCUGAGAGGAUGAUCAGCCACACUGGAACGGAGACACGGUCCAGACUCCUACGGGAGGCAGCAGUGGGGAAUAUUGGACAAUGGGCGCAAGCCUGAUCCAGCCAUACCGCGUGGGUGAAGAAGGCCUUCGGGUUGUAAAGCCCUUUUGUUGGGAAAGAAAAGCAGCAGGUUAAUACCCCGCUGUUCUGACGGUACCCAAAGAAUAAGCACCGGCUAACUUCGUG